rnacentral:rRNA from 1 species
UACGUAGGGUGCAAGCGUUAAUCGGAAUUACUGGGCGUAAAGCGUGCGCAGGCGGUCCGUUAAGACAGAUGUGAAAUCCCCGGGCUCAACCUGGGAAUGGCAAUGGAUACUGGCAGGCUAGAGUGCGGUAGAGGGUAGUGGAAUUCCCGGUGUAGCGGUGAAAUGCGUAGGAGAAUCGGGAGGAACACCAGUGGCGAAGGCGGCUACCUGGACCAGCACUGACACUGAGGCACGAAAGCGUGGGGAGCAAACAGGGAUAGAAACCCCCAGU